AACGAACGCUGGCGGCAGGCUUAACACAUGCAAGUCGAGCGCCCCGCAAGGGGAGCGGCAGACGGGUGAGUAACGCGUGGGAAUCUACCUUUUGCUACGGAAUAACUCAGGGAAACUUGUGCUAAUACCGUAUGUGCCCUUCGGGGGAAAGAUUUAUCGGCAAAGGAGGAGCCCGCGUUGGAUUAGCUAGUUGGUGGGGUAAUGGCCUACCAAGGCGACGAUCCAUAGCUGGUCUGAGAGGAUGAUCAGCCACAUUGGGACUGAGACACGGCCCAAACUCCUACGGGAGGCAGCAGUGGGGAAUAUUGGACAAUGGGCGCAAGCCUGAUCCAGCCAUGCCGCGUGAGUGAUGAAGGCCCUAGGGUUGUAAAGCUCUUUCACCGGUGAAGAUAAUGACGGUAACCGGAGAAGAAGCCCCGGCUAACUUCGUGCCAGCCGCCGCAGUAAUAC
rnacentral:rRNA from 1 species